UUUGAAAUUAUCAACUGAAUAAAUCACAAAACCACAAGCAUUAGACAAGAGUUUUUGUUAUAAAUGUAAUGGCUCUAAAAGGGAGGCUGGUAGCGCAGGUGUGGUGAGAUCUUCAAAGAAAGUUAAAAAAAAAUAAAAGAAAGUUAACAAAAGUAAAAAAAGUUAAAAAAAGCCAGAUUUUAGAAAAAAGUUUAAAAAAGUUGGAUUAGGGUUAGGGGUUAGGUUUGGGGUUUAGGGUAUAGGGUUGGAGUUAGGGGUUACAUAGUGAUAUGG